GAGGAAUUAUUGUAUCUAGAUUUAUAUCUCAACUGACCUGCUUCGCUUGUUGCUUCGUUUUUUGAGUUGUCGAUUACAUAUUCAAUUUUUGCUAUACUGUUCGACACAAUCACGAUUGAAUUUAUCUUGCUUUCUGCCUCCGUUACGAAUUUGAGAAUUUUGAAAAAUACCGUCGAAAAUGUCCCCUGCAUUAACCAAAAUUGGAUUUUACGAAAUUAAGAUCGCACUGUUAUUCGGUUUAUGCUUCAUAAAACUCGACAUAAGCAAUGCAGCAGAAUUUAUUGAUCCGAAGGAUGUGACUUUACCUCCAAACAUCGUUGAACUCUUAAAAAACAAGAUUCCCGAUUUAGAUGCAAGAGAUAAACUAAACGAGAAACUUCUAAAAUACGCGAGGGAAAUAAAUGCGGACAAAGAAAAGGAUGACUUGGGGGAAAAAAGGAUCAUACAUUGAGAAGCAAAUGGAUCCACCAUGUUUUUAUAUGCGCAUUAAGAAAAAUAAUAGCGUACAAUGACAUUUGUUACGAUCAAUUUAAACAGAAUUACCUGCCUCCCGCAGCCAUUCCUUGGCGGGAAAAUUUUAUCGAAAAAAUAAUCAAUAUAUCAAACGAAACCGUAAAAUUAUCCAUUUCGGUAUUUAUUUAUACUGACCUCUGGUAACUUUACAAUGACGUCAAUAUGCAUCCCUCCAAUUUGGAUCGCAUUAGGAGGAACAGUAUGCGAAAUCGGAUACGUAGGAUGAACGUUAAUAAACGCCACGCUGGUAUUUUUGACAAUUUCUGAUAACGGUGGAAUCUCACCAAACACUUUUUUAGCCAAUUUCUCCGAUGGUUUGGUUGUAUAAAAUUGUCCAACACUCAUCCACAAAGCAUACGCAUAUGUAUUGUACAAUCUCUCCAAGAAGUUCAUUUUGCAAUGUGUUCCACUGGCAUACGUAGGAAUAUAAGCAGGAUGAGAAAUAGUCCCGAUGGCAUCAGCGACCCAUGGAAACAGCAUAUUCGGAUAAAUAUAAUCAUUGGCACUUUAAACUUGUACGCGAAACCCACAUACCAUUCGUGAUGAAGAAUAUCGGUUAAAAGCAAAUCAAAUUUGUCUGUCGAAUUCACAAGUUUCAUUAUAGUAGGAUUUAAUGACGAA